rnacentral:rRNA from 1 species
UACAGAGGUCUCAAGCGUUGUUCGGAUUCAUUGGGCGUAAAGAGCGCGCAGGCGGCUUGGUAAGUCGGAUGUGAAAACCCGAGGCUCAACCUCGGGCGUGCAUCCGAAACUGCUCGGCUAGAGGUAGGUAGGGGAGAUCGGAAUUCCUGGUGUAGCGGUGAAAUGCGCAGAUAUCAGGAGGAACACCGGUGGCGAAGGCGGAUCUCUGGGCCUUACCUGACGCUCAGGCGCGAAAGCUAGGGGAGCGAACUGG